rnacentral:lncRNA from 1 species
UGACAGCUUGAGUAUAUGUUAUCCGAGAUCUUCACAGAGGGAAUGGGCUCAUAUCCCCUUUGUAAGUAACCAAUUGCAGUUGAUAUAAAAAAAUAUAUAAAAAGAAGAUGUGGUAUGAUUGCCAAUGAGACAACUCUCCACAAGAGACCAAAAUGACACAAAAUUUAACAAGUAUAGUUUACUCUUGUAUAACAUACGUAUAUAUCAUACAUGUUAUGUUAUUGGCCAUGUUCACGAUUUCCGAUUUCACAUUUUUGCAAAGAAUUUCAAUGACUCAGGAGAAAAACAUAAACAAUCAAUUAUGCAAUACAGCUAACAAUUUGUCUGACAAUAUUCUGUUCAACCAACUACAUGUUAAAAAGUGAUCUCAAGUCUCAGACGAAAUGGUAAAAAAUGAUACAAAAAAAAAUGUUCAUAUGAAAUAAAAGAGUUCUGUCUGUUCUUUAAUUACAGUGUGUCCACCAUUCACUCACAAUUCUUA